rnacentral:rRNA from 1 species
AAAAACAUGUCUUCUUGAUUUGAUAUGAAGUCGUAUCUGCCCACUGAGUAGUUGAAUGGCCGCGGUAUAUUGACCGUGCAAAGGUAGCAUAAUCAUUAGUCUUUUAAUUGGAGGCUGGAAUGAAUGAUUUGACGAAACAACAACUGUCUCGGAAUGAUGUAUUGAAUUUUACUUUUGAGUUAAAAGGCUCAAAUGAAGAUAGGGGACGAGAAGACCCUAUAGAUCUUGAUAUUAGAUAUUAAAAUUUAUGUUUGGUAGUUUUUUGUAGAUAUUGAUAUCUUAUGUUUGGUUGGGGUGACAAGGGAAUAAUUUAACUUCUUUUUAUUUAACUGUGAUGGUUGGUUAAUUGAUCCUAUAUUAUGGAAUGAAGAUAAAGAUACCUUAGGGAUAACAGCGUAAUGUUAUUGGAGAGUUCAUAUUGAUAAUAAAGAUUGCGACCUCGAUGUUGGAUUAAGAAAAUUGUUAAGUGCAGGAGCUUAAUUUAUUGGUCUGUUCGACCAUUAAAUUCUUAC